GCCAGUGUGGUGUAGUGGUUUGAGUGCUGGACUAUAACUCUGGAGACCAGGGUUCGAUUCCCAAUUCGGCCA